GACGAACGCUGUCGGCGUGCUUAACACAUGCAAGUCGAACGGAAAGGCCCUGCUUUUGUGGGGUGCUCGAGUGGCGAACGGGUGAGUAACACGUGAGUAACCUGCCCUUGACUUUGGGAUAACUUCAGGAAACUGGGGCUAAUACCGGAUAGGAGCUCCUGCUGCAUGGUGGGGGUUGGAAAGUUUCGGCGGUUGGGGAUGGACUCGCGGCUUAUCAGCUUGUUGGUGGGGUAGUGGCUUACCAAGGCUUUGACGGGUAGCCGGCCUGAGAGGGUGACCGGCCGCAUUGGGACUGAGAUACGGCCCAGACUCCUACGGGAGGCAGCAGUGGGGAAUAUUGCACAAUGGGCGGAAGCCUGAUGCAACAACGCCGCGUGCGGGAUGACGGCCUUCGGGUUGUAAACCGCUUUCGCCUGUGACGAAGCGUGAGUGACGGUAAUGGGUAAAGAAGCACCGGCUAACUACGUGCCAGCAGCCGCGGUGAUACGUAGGGUGCGAGCGUUGUCCGGAUUUAUUGGGCGAAAAGGGCUCGUAGGUGGUUGAUCGCGUCGGAAGUGUAAUCUUGGGGCUUAACCCCUGAGCGUGCUUUCGAUACGGGUUGACUUGAGGAAGGUAGGGGAGAAUGGAAUUCCUGGUGGAGCGGUGGAAUGCGCAGAUAUCAGGAGGAACACCAGUGGCGAAGGCGGUUCUCUGGGCCUUUCCUGACGCUGAGGAGCGAAAGCGUGGGGAGCGAACAGGCUUAGAUACCCUGGUAGUCCACGCUGUAAACGGUGGGUACUAGGUGUGGGGUCCAUUCCACGGGUUCCGUGCCGUAGCUAACGCUUUAAGUACCCCGCCUGGGGAGUACGGCCGCAAGGCUAAAACUCAAAGGAAUUGACGGGGCCCCGCACAAGCGGCGGAGCAUGCGGAUUAAUUCGAUGCAACGCGUAGAACCUUACCUGGGUUUGACAUGGAUCGGGAGUGCUCAGAGAUGGGUGUGCCUCUUUUGGGGUCGGUUCACAGGUGGUGCGUGGCUGUCGUCAGCUCGUGUCGUGAGAUGUUGGGUUAAGUCCCGCAACGAGCGCAACCCUUGUUCACUGUUGCCAGCACGUUAUGGUGGGGACUCAGUGGAGACCGCCGGGGUCAACUCGGAGGAAGGUGGGGAUGACGUCAAGUCAUCAUGCCCCUUAUGUCCAGGGCUUCACGCAUGCUACAAUGGCUGGUACAGAGAGUGGCGAGCCUGUGAGGGUGAGCGAAUCUCGGAAAGCCGGUCUCAGUUCGGAUUGGGGUCUGCAACUCGACCUCAUGAGGUCGGAGUCGCUAGUAAUCGCAGAUCAGCAACGCUGCGGUGAAUACGUUCCCGGG
rnacentral:rRNA from 1 species